AGAGUCUGGAGGGAUGUGUCUUUGAUCUAGUAAUAUAUGAUUGUAUAAUUUCUGAUAUCUAGAAUUAAUUACGAGAAAAAUCAAAAUGCAAAGAGAAAAUUUGGCAGUUUAUUUACAGUUACUCACAAAUGCUCAGAAAGGAGAAGGUGGAAUACAGGAAAUUUAUAAAUACAGAACAUGUAUUUGUAGAAUGGUGGAAACGUUCUUUACUGAUUUAAAAAAGGUUGAAGAAUCUUGUGGUAAUGAAGAUGGAAUGAGUGAUUGUUUGUUACUGCUUCAGUUGAUAGUUAAUUGUCUAGAUACUAAGUCCGACACAUUUCAUUAUUCACCUCGAAUAAUGGCUACAUCGACACCAGGUUUAUCAGUAGUUAAAAAUAAAGAUAUAUCACUUGAA